CCGCUCAGUCCGCCAGAGCGCGGAUGUCUCCGAAAUUCGGCUCUGGGUCUGUGGGGUG
rnacentral:pre_miRNA from 1 species